rnacentral:rRNA from 1 species
AGAGUUUGAUUUUGGCUCAGGAUGAACGCUAGCUACAGGCUUAACACAUGCAAGUCGAGGGGCAGCAUUUCAGUUUGCUUGCAAACUGGAGAUGGCGACCGGCGCACGGGUGAGUAACACGUAUCCAACCUGCCGAUAACUCGGGGAUAGCCUUUCGAAAGAAAGAUUAAUACCCGAUGGCAUAAUUAGACCGCAUGGUCUUAUUAUUAAAGAAUUUCGGUUAUCGAUGGGGAUGCGUUCCAUUAGGCAGUUGGUGAGGUAACGGCUCACCAAACCUUCGAUGGAUAGGGGUUCUGAGAGGAAGGUCCCCCACAUUGGAACUGAGACACGGUCCAAACUCCUACGGGAGGCAGCAGUGAGGAAUAUUGGUCAAUGGACGAGAGUCUGAACCAGCCAAGUAGCGUGAAGGAUGACUGCCCUAUGGGUUGUAAACUUCUUUUAUAUGGGAAUAAAGUUUUCCACGUGUGGAAUUUUGUAUGUACCAUAUGAAUAAGGAUCGGCUAACUCCGUGCCAGCAGCCGCGGUAAUACGGAGGAUCCGAGCGUUAUCCGGAUUUAUUGGGUUUAAAGGGAGCGUAGGUGGACAGUUAAGUCAGUUGUGAAAGUUUGCGGCUCAACCGUAAAAUUGCAGUUGAUACUGGCUGUCUUGAGUACAGUAGAGGUGGGCGGAAUUCGUGGUGUAGCGGUGAAAUGCUUAGAUAUCACGAAGAACUCCGAUUGCGAAGGCAGCUCACUGGACUGCAACUGACACUGAUGCUCGAAAGUGUGGGUAUCAAACAGGAUUAGAUACCCUGGUAGUCCACACAGUAAACGA